AUUGAACGCUGGCGGCAGGCCUAACACAUGCAAGUCGAACGAGUGGCGGACGGGUGAGUAAUGUCUGGGAAACUGCCUGAUGGAGGGGGAGAACUACUGGAAACGGUAGCUAAUACCGCAUACCAUCAGAUGUGCCCAGAUGGGAUUAGCUUGUAGGUGGGGUAAGGGCUCCCCUAGGCUAAGAUCCCUAGCUGGUCUGAGAGGAUGACCAGCAACACUGGAACUGAGACACGGUCCAGAUUCCUACGGGAGGCAGCAGUGGGUAAUAUUGGACAAUGGGCGCAAGCCUGAUGCAGCCAGGCCGCGUGUGGGAAGAAGGCCUUCGGGUUGUAAAGCACUUUCAGCGAGGAGGCGUUACUCACAGAAGAAGCACCGGCUAACUCCGUGCCAGCAGCCGCGGUAAUUC
rnacentral:rRNA from 1 species